GGCCACCUUAGUAGUCAUUGUCCCAUGGGGGCUCGGCGGACGGGGGGCUUACACAUAGCGGGUCCAAAGACAAUAACCUAAGGGUCCGCACGCUAAACGGAAGACAGAAA
rnacentral:ncRNA from 1 species